AGGAUUGGAUAUUUUUUUUUUUUUUUUAGUAAUUUAAUGUGUGUCAAAAUUGAGGUUUGAGUUUUUAAGAAGGUAUUAAACACUCCAGGCCAGAGUCAUGCUGAAGUUUAGCAAUAUUUUCUUAUCUUGUGUUGGUAUGAAUUCAGUGUAUUUGAAGCUGUCCUUUCAUUGAUUUUGGAGGAUUAUUAAAUGGGUUGGAGAUCCAAUACUGACACUUAAUACAGGGUUUUACAGAAGAAUUAUUAUUUUU
rnacentral:lncRNA from 1 species